GACGAACGCUGGCGGCGGGCUUAACACAUGCAAGUCGAACGAAGUGGCGAACGGGUGAGUAAUACGUGGGUAACCUGCCCUCCUUGUGGGGAUACGCCUUGGAAACGGGGUCUAAUACCCAAAAAAGGGGGAUGGGCUCGCGGCAUAUCAGCGGGUUGGUGGGGUGAUGGCCUACCAAGGCGGUGAUGGGUAGCCGGGCUGAGGGGGUGAUCGGGCACAGUGGGACGGGGAUAAGGCCUAGGCUCCUAAGGGAGGCAGCAGGGGGGGAUAUUGCACCAGGGGCGAAAGCCUCAUGCCGCGACGCCGCGGGGGGGAUGAAGGCUUGCGGGUUGUAAAACUGGUUCGCUAUCGAACGGGUAGGUGGAGAAGAAGCGCCGGCUAACUACGUGCCAGCAGCCGCGGUAAUUC
rnacentral:rRNA from 1 species